rnacentral:tRNA from 1 species
GAUUUUGUAGCUCAACGGUAGAGCAAUGGGCUGUUAACCCAGAGGUUGAAGGUUCAACUCCUUCCAAAAUCG